rnacentral:lncRNA from 1 species
GUGAGCCCCCCCCACCCGGCCGAGUCGCUGACCCCACUGCUCUCACGCUGCCCCCAUCGGCGCUGGGGCCGCUGCAGCCUAGCCGCGCCCCCACCCCGCUUCCUGACUCGGCCCGGCGGUCGCCUGCAUCGCACCCCGCUCCUUCCUUCCUUCAUUCUUUCAGGCAACGCGCAUUCCUCGGGCGCCUGCGACGUGCCCUGCACAAGGCCUCGCCGACCUUCCGAGAGUGGCCUCGAGCCACCAGGCUUCCCUGCCCUCCCUCCCCACCCCGCCCGAAGCAGGCGGUGACGCCCUCCUUCACGCCAGAGUUCUCUGAUUAUUCUCCCUCCAGUUAGGGUUCAGUCCGAGGCAAGACUAGGGGGUCGCUGUGUAAUUAUGAUGGGGUCGGUCUGCAAGCUCACUGAUAGGUCAGAAGCGGGGUCCGAACUGGGGUUCCAAGCAGCUUUGGACUAGGUAGGUGUGGGGUCAGGAUAAAGGGACUUCGAGACCAAGAUUUGGGGGUUGCUUUUGACAAGCUAUGUAAGGCAGGGGCAGCUUUCUGCAAGCCCAUCCCUGGUGGGGGCCUCACCGGCACCUUAGCCACUGUCCUUCCCGCUGGAGACGCUCUCUUUCCUCACCAUCACUCUGCUCUUCUGAGCCGGAUGUCACGGGCAGAAGCUUCAUUGGGCCUGGGCCUGAAGUCCUUUUGUGACUGGAAUCCCAUGUUGGCCAGGAUAGGGAGGGGCAGCACCCAAGAACCAAGUGUGUUUAGCAGCAAUCUGUUGUUGCUCCCAGUACCUUUUCCCAUUUGCUCGAAAAUUCAAACCCUGUCAGGGAUGGGAGGACCCUCAGCACUCACACAUGUGGCCUGUUCAGAGACACCCAGCCAGUUAGUGGUCAAGACAAGUCUGUGACUAGAGAGCUGGUCAGCUAGUGACAAAGCCCUUUGAGCUACUGUGUCUCCCUCACACAGUGUGGCAGCUCCUUCUGCAAACAAUCCCCCAUUCUGAGACUCUCAGCCUGCUGCCUUGACCACUACAAACAUCCCUUGGUGCCCUGACCAUGUGUCUCGUCUUCCAAUGCCAUGGAAAGCCUCAUUAGGGAGUGGAGACAGGAAGAUAUGGCUGGAUGGAAGGAGGAACAAAAGGAGGAAGAGACAGGAAUUCAGAGCCUUUGCUUCUGAGGAUUCAUGGAAACAGGAUUGCCAUUUCAUCUGGGUAGAGGGUCAAACAACGAAGAAAAAGCGCAAUAAAGUCAGCCACCAUAGACACAGUGACAGUGCAGAUUUUCGGCACGUGACUGCCCUCUUGUGACCAGAUGCUGCAACUGUCAGCUAUCGCCCUGGAGGAGAGAAACGUCUUCCUGGCUACGAAUCUACUGUGUUCCAGAUUCCCGUGCGUCUCAGAUCUAAUCCUCAUCCUGUGGGAUGGGCGUUCUUAUUCUAUUUACGCAUGUGCAUGCUUAAGCCGAGGCUUCCAGAGAACAUCGAGCGGUAAAAAACCGGGCGGUUGUUAAGAGGGCCAACUUAGGCAGCAUUAAUGCAAAUGUCUGCUACUGCCUCAAGGCCUUGGGAAAAUGAUCAAACUCUCUGUUCCCAUUUCACUUCUGUUGCUGUGACCAAAAAAGCAAUUUAUGGAAGAAAGAGUUUAUUCAGCUUACAGCCCCAGGUUAGACCGUUACUUUAGGGAAGUCAAGGCAAGAACUUGAAGCAUUGUACCCACAGUCAAGAGCAGAAAGAAAAUAAACGCAUGGUUCUUGGCUUGCUAGUGAGCUUUCUC